ensembl:lncRNA
CGGCAACUUCCAGGCUCUCCCAGGCCUAAGAAUAAAACACACAGGCCUGAAAGACAGAACUUUAAUCAAACUGCAACCAGGCUCUCGAGGCUGUGUGAGUGAACCAUGUCACCGACUGUCCUGCCAGUGGAGUCUGCACAGCGGGGUCCCCCACCCUGGCCACAGUUGGCCAGCCAGGUGUGGUUCCCAAGGUCACCCUCACACAGUGGCUAUGGAGCUGUCUCUACACCGCCACCUCCGCCAGGCCACGGACACUGAACAGGAGCCACACUAACCCCGACCAUGCUGCUGCCGCUGAACCCUCUGUGAUGCCAUCCAGGGCUUGCCCCGGGCAGAGCGGGGCUGACAUACAGGACCACAGACUCGAGGAGACGCAGAUGCAGACCAGGUGGUGACCCCUAUGGUCCUCCCAGACACCAGCACAGGAGUGGGAGAGUCUCCGAGGCCUGAACACACCACAGCAGCUCAGGGCGGAAGCAGACCAACAGUGUAAGAGCGGGAAACCAACCCGGGCCAUGAGGCAGGAAGAUGCGUGGCCAGGCAUCUCUGGUUUUGGUCUCCGUUGUUUCCUCUUGGGGGUGCAUUUUGGUGACAAAGUCCACUGACAGCUGCUCCUGUGUCCUCUGGCGAGAGGCACAGUUGGUCGCAGGAACUGAAGGGACCAUGACACCAGCUCAGCUUCUCCAGCCGCCGAAGCCCUGGACAGACCUGAGGCAGCGAGAGCCGGGUCAGCUCCUGCACCUGGCAAGGGGCCUGGAUUCUGAGGCUGCGGAGCCUGGAGAUGGGGCGUCACUGGGGGAGAUGAGAGGCACCGCCUUGUGCUGGCUUUUAGGAGCUCCCUCUCCACACCACAGCCUGGGCCAGAGAAGCAAGAGCUAGGCGUGGGGUCCCCAGGCCGGCUGUCUGCCUGUGCACCGUGACCACCUAAGAGCUGCGCCUUCUGAGCUUGUGGAGAGGCCUGAACAGGGCAGACUUUGCCCCAGGAGCAGCAGAGCGCCACUCACAUCAAGACAAUGUACCAGGCUUCUGUGCUGUCCCUGAGGCUAUGGGCUUGGCUUUUCAAGCCCCAAGGCUCUCAUUUCCUGGAGCUUUCCAAUCCAGAGAAAAGACUAGGUCAGUAAUUUUUUUACGUGGUCAGAAAUGGUACAAUAAUGCAGGUCU